rnacentral:misc_RNA from 1 species
CAAGACCAAUUAACGAAACUCAUAACACCGAUCGCCCUGCAGGAUAUCACGACCAAGAAAAUAGACGAUAAUCCCAUGAAAGAGUACCUAUCAAUUUACGUGUUUCGAGAGAAGCUAAUUGGAAAAGGUUCUGAAAAUAAAACCAACACGGGCUAUGAUUUAUAGGUUCCCAUCAAAUAGCAAUCUCGAGAGAGCACGCCAUAUAAUAAAAGAAUAGCUUAGACACUACGUAAACCAGGAUUGAAUCAAUUGGAACGAAUUCAUUAAAUUAAUCACGCUUUCAUAUAAUACGGCAACGUAUGAAGCAAUGGAGGAGAAGACUAGAUAAGAGAACUAAGGAAUCAUCUUUAAUUCCAAAUAGAAAAGGCGAAAGGAAAACAUAUAUAUAUAUAGCAAAGGAGAAACGCAAGGAAAUCUACGACAAUAAAAUAAUUAAACGCGUACCAACCAAAAUACCAAAUCGGAGACAUGAUACAUCUGAGGUAGAUUAUGUUUCUACUAUGGACCCAGUAAACCCAGUGCCUAGCGCCUCCAGGAAGCAACUCGUACGAAGUAAGCAUACCACACCUAUGUACUGGAGCAUCUUGCCAAGAUACGGAUGUAACACAAAAUUUGCAGCUGCUUAAGAGCAACUAUGUAUAAAACAGAACGUGGUAUAUAGAAUAUAUGUCAAUUUCUUUAAUUCCAAACUAACUUCUAUCAACAGUAACAACAUUAAACUUUACAAUUUAUUAAAUAUGUUAUAUAUUGCUCAAAACGAGUAUAAAAUUGAGUUUGAGGAACUAACGUUAGAGUUAACCAAUAUUCUAAACGAAUAUAGUAACGAUAUAAAU